GACGAACGCUGGCGGCGUGCCUAACACAUGCAAGUCGAACGGAACUGUUUUGAAAGAUUUCUUCGGAAUGAAUUUGAUUUAGUUUAGUGGCGGACGGGUGAGUAACGCGUGAGUAACCUGCCUUCAAGAGGGGGAUAACAUUCUGAAAAGAAUGCUAAUACCGCAUGAUAUAUCGGAACCACAUGGUUUUGAUAUCAAAGAUUUUAUCGCUUGAAGAUGGACUCGCGUCCGAUUAGUUAGUUGGUGAGGUAACGGCUCACCAAGACCGCGAUCGGUAGCCGGACUGAGAGGUUGAACGGCCACAUUGGGACUGAGACACGGCCCAGACUCCUACGGGAGGCAGCAGUGGGGGAUAUUGCGCAAUGGGGGCAACCCUGACGCAGCAACGCCGCGUGAAGGAUGAAGGUUUUCGGAUUGUAAACUUCUUUUAUUAAGGACGAAACUUGACGGUACUUAAUGAAUAA
rnacentral:rRNA from 1 species